GGCGACUGCGGGCGAGCCUGACGGAGCAAUACCGCGUGAGGGAUGACGGCCUUCGGGUUGUAAACCUCUUUUUUCAGGGAAGAAGUUAUGACGUGUACCUGAAGAAUAAGCAUCGGCUAACUCCGUGCCAGCAGCCGCGGUAAGACGGAGGAUGCAAGUGUUAUCCGGAAUUAUUGGGCGUAAAGCGUCUGUAGGUGGUUUAAUAAGUCUGUUGUUAAAGGUUAAAGCUUAACUUUAAAGUUGCAAUGGAUACUGUUAGGCUUGAGUAUAGUCGAGGUAGAAGGAAUUUCCAGUGAAGCGGUGAAAUGCGUAGAUAUUGGAAAGAACACCAAUGGCGAAAGCAUUCUGCCAGAUUUUUACUGACACUGAGAGACGAAAGCUAGGGUAGCAAAUGGGAUUAGAUACCCCCAGUAGUACA
rnacentral:rRNA from 1 species